rnacentral:snRNA from 2 species
GUGCUCUCUUCAACAGCACAUAUGCUGAAAUUGGAACGAUACAGAAGAGAUUCGCAUGGUCUCUGCACAAGGAAGUCACACAAAUUCAUGAAAUGUUCCAUGUUUUU